GCAAGGCGGGCGAGCUGUGAGUCCUGUACCCUUCUCUUGUGCACAGCGCACCUCUCUCGGCGGCCGGUGCAGCCCUCCUGGCCAAGUCUUGGGUGAUGAACGUCGAGCCUCCCCCCAGAGGCUUCUGCUUUCAUCCCACAGGUAUCUUAGAAGGUGGUGGUCAGUCUGGAGUUCCUGUACCUUUUAGGGACGUGAAGAGGUUGUUGUAGGACUGUAGAAAACCCAGCUACACCGAGCUCAGGCUGCCAGAUAGCUGGUGCACAUGACCCUUGAUCUCUCAAACUGGGGAAAGUCACCAUGUCUCAAGGACUGUCUCAUAGACAUAGUAUUUUUACAUUUCUCUGGGGCCCAUGGGUGAGAAUUUGGGAAAAGGAAGCUUGGUGUAGGAAAGAGGAGGGGGCUGGCGCGAUACCUGCCCCUGCAGCUGGCCUGGGACAGGAUAGGAUGACUACAGGUCCUGUGAGCACUGACCACAGGUCAGCAUCCACAUGACUGAACUAUGGUCACUGGGCCCCUUUGGCUCAUACUGAACUUUUGUGCAAAAUAAAGGCCUGGCCUGGAUGAAUGGGCAGAACGCAAGUGUCACAGCAGGCAGGGGGUAACCAGGGAAGAGCCUCCCCUGUCCUCAAGGGUAGACUCUGUAGGGUGCUUAUGACAGAACAGGCUGACUUUACCCUUUGGCAGCUUGUAUUUUAGGGGCGACCCAGUAAGUGAAUUAAACAGAUUCACGUUGUCAUCUCAGGUCCUGCUAGACACACUAGGAAGAAAGCAGGAAAUUGAG
rnacentral:lncRNA from 1 species